CCUACGAGUGGCAGCAGUAGGGAAUCUUCCACAAUGGACGAAAGUCUGAUGGAGCAACGCCGCGUGAGUGAAGAAGGGUUUCGGCUCGUAAAGCUCUGUUGGUAGUGAAGAAAGAUAGAGGUAGUAACUGGCCUUUAUUUGACGGUAAUUACUUAGAAAGUCACGGCUAACUACGUCCCAGCAGCCGCGGUAAUACGUAGGUGGCAAGCGUUGUCCGGAUUGAUUGGGCGUAAGGCUAUUGCGGGCGGUUCAAUAAGUCUGAUGUGAAAGCCUUCGGCUCAACCGGAGCAUUGCAUCAGAAACUGUUGAACUGGAGUGCAGAAGAGGAGAGUGGAACUCCAUGUGGAGCGGUGGAAUGCGUAGAUAUAUGGAAGAACACCAGUGGCGAAGGCGGCUCUCUGGUCUGCAACUGACGCUGAGGCUCGAAAGCAUGGGUAGCGAACAGGAUUAGAUACCCUUGUAGUC
rnacentral:rRNA from 1 species